AUUUCAGCAACUUCCAAAGCUACAUCUGCAAGGCUUACAGAGAAAGGUUCGCUGAUCAGGUGUUACCAAAAGUUUGCAAUUCACUUCCAAUGUCGAAUUAUUCGUUGAACGAUGUCGAAGAUUCGGUAAGCCAAAGUCGAGUUUGCCAUCCUCAAACAAACAGAUGAUCACUUCAAAUGUGCUCAAAAUAAUUAGUGGUUGUGGUUUAGGAUCCUGGAUUUAUGAAAGGCAAAAUAAUUUUUAUUUCAGAAGUCCGUACCAAACACACCCUUAAGAAUUAAUCCACUUAUAAUCAAUAAUGAUUCAACAAAUCAUCGGUCAAUCCGCUUUACAAAAGGACUAUAACUCAAACACAUAAUAAAAUCAAAUUUCC
rnacentral:lncRNA from 1 species